rnacentral:rRNA from 1 species
GACGAACGCUGGCGGCGUGCUUAACACAUGCAAGUCGAACGAAGAGCGAUGGAAGCUUGCUUCUAUCAAUCUUAGUGGCGAACGGGUGAGUAACGCGUAAUCAACCUGCCCUUCAGAGGAGGACAACAGUUGGAAACGACUGCUAAUACCGCAUACGAUCUAAUCUCGGCAUCGAGGAUAGAUGAAAGGUGGCCUCUACAUGUAAGCUAUCACUGAAGGAGGGGAUUGCGUCUGAUUAGCUAGUUGGAGGGGUAACGGCCCACCAAGGCGAUGAUCAGUAGCCGGUCUGAGAGGAUGAACGGCCACAUUGGGACUGAGACACGGCCCAGACUCCUACGGGAGGCAGCAGUGGGGAAUCUUCCGCAAUGGACGAAAGUCUGACGGAGCAACGCCGCGUGAGUGAUGACGGCCUUCGGGUUGUAAAGCUCUGUUAAUCGGGACGAAAGGCCUUCUUGCGAACAGUUAGAAGGAUUGACGGUACCGGAAUAGAAAGCCACGGCUAACUACGUG